rnacentral:rRNA from 1 species
CUCGUAGGCGGACAUUUAAGUCAGGGGUGAAAUCCCGGGGCUCAACCUCGGAAUUGCCUUUGAUACUGGGUGUCUUGAGUAUGAGAGAGGUGUGUGGAACUCCGAGUGUAGAGGUGAAAUUCGUAGAUAUUCGGAAGAACACCAGUGGCGAAGGCGACACACUGGCUCAUUACUGACGCUGAGGCUCGAAAGCGUGGGGAGCAAACA